AUCCUCUGACAAGUCUCAAAUAGGACGAAGCGCGCGUCCUGGAU
rfam:Schistosoma rodhaini strain Burundi genome assembly, scaffold: SROB_scaffold0000163